UUUGAUUUUGAGGAUAAAUUAAAUACCUCAAUUUUCUAAUUAAUUAAAUAUUAAAAUAUUCAAAAUAUUCGAUUUAGCUCCGAAUCGUACCAAGUUUUCAAUGAUUGGAUCUAACGACUAGAUAAACUAAUUAAUAUAUGAUUAAGCUAAAAUUAAACUAAGUAAUAAUAUUGGGUUGUUACAGCACUCCCAUGAUAGGUGACCUAUUAUGAAGUUAUCUUUUGAUGGAAAAAUUAUAUGUCUCAUGCCAAAGUGAGUAAUACUUUGAUAUUUAAGAGUUUGAGAUGUUACAAAUGGUAUUAGAGCAAAUCAUAGGGUGUUGGAUUGGAGCUAAAUGUUGUGCAUGGCAAAAUAUUAUUCUAUGGGAGUGACCUCUUGAACCCAUGAUGGGUUAAUGUAAUACAUGGUUGGGGGCACCUCUUAUGCGUGUAGGGGCCACCUCUAGUCCUAUCUACCCAAUAGAUGGUUUUUAAAUCUAUGUGUGGUUGCUGACGAGGUUGUCAGCUAUUUAAGUUGGGGAGAUUGUAAAUAUUCACUUAAGUAUUGUUGAGUGAAACUCUUAAACAUUGAAGUGCAUUUUCACAUAACAGUGGAGUUCCUAGUAAGAGUUCCAAAGCUAUAAAUACUCAGGUGGGAGCACUCUCAAUAUGGGUGACAUGUUGGAAAGUUAUCUUAUGAGAGCAAAACUGUAAUGUGUUUCAGGACAAAGCAGACAAUAUCUUGAUACUUAAGAUUUUGGGUUGUUACACCCCUAGAUCACCAAAUUUGAUUUCGAUCAAAGAAACACUAUUAAUUAAGUGUCACAGUGAUUUCAGCCCUAAAAAUCUACACUUAAAUCCCUGAAAUCAAAGGCACAAUUGGCUAGCCUAAGCUAGUCAAAUCUAAGCCAAAAUUGGCUAGAACCUCGCAAGUGGCCAAAAUCACUUCUAAAGCAUCAAAAAACACAUACUGUGAUCACUUUAGAUCUCUUAAAAGUCUUACAAAAAUUAAUCCAUAACUCAGCUUUCUUAAGAAUAAUGAGCAAUAAUCUUAAUGAAUGAGAACAAAGUUUUCUUCCACAAUUUUUGGCUUUAUUAAUUUAUAAGUAUUUAUAAAAAAUUUAUAACACUAGUAAUUUUUAUAUGCUUUUCGGUUCACCGAAACUAUUAUAUAUAUAUGUAAUAAAAUAUAUGUGAUUUGAUAAUUCAUGUGUAAAUAUAAGUUUUUUACAAUACAUUGUUUUGUUGAAAUAAAUUUAUAUGCGAGGAAAUAAAUGUAUUCUUGUUUUUUAUGCGAAGAAAUAAAUUUAUAUUUCCUAAAAAAUAUUUGGGAGUUAUUCUGUAGCCUUAUAAUUAAAUGUAAUUAAAACAAAAGCAGACGAUUUUUUUUCUACCAAAAAAAAAUAUAUAUAUACAAUUAAAAUUGAAUUUAAUAAUAUUUUUUAAUCUACUUAAUUUCUAAAUUUUAAAAAUUAUACAUACUUUUUAAAAAUAUUUAAGUGCUAUAUAAGAAUACUCUUUUCUCUGAAAGCAAUGCCAUUGGUGGAACAGAACUGCCUGCCUGCCAGGCUGCUGCCUUCUUCACACCGCAACGCGUCCUCUUGGGCAAGAAGCGUAACUCAACGGAAGACCGGCACGUGUCCACAGCUGCCAUUCCACGGACUGAAUUAUUAUUCUACAGAAACAUACGGGCUCAAAAAUUUUCAAGAAAAAAAAAUUAUUAUUCAUAUAUUAAGAGGGAAGGUUCAGCCCAAUUGUAUAAAAAUAAGCGAUUUACUAUAUAUAAAUAUAUAUAUAAAUAAAUAAAAACUAAUAAAAUAAUAUUCAAAUUUUAUUUAAUAAAUUUUUUUGAAUAUCACAUCAACUGAUAUAAAUAGUGUUUCGAUCUGAGUGCUGCCUUGGAGAGGGACUCGGUGAAAUAUACUUAUCUGUGAAGAUGCGGACUACCUGUACCUAUACAGAAAGAUCCUAUGAAGCUUUGUUAUUCCCUAUGAUUGGUUUUAAGCUUUUCUUGCGCAGAUAAGGUGGAAGGUGAUAAAAAUAUUUCUUAUGGAAAGGAUUGAGCCGUUAUUGAGAUAACACUCUAAAAGAGCUAGAUUCCUAACCUUGUGUCAUAAAUUAUAGCCGAUGGACAUUCUCAGGUAGACAGUUUAUAUGGAGCGUAGGCCUCCUAAAAAGUAACGAAGGUGCGCAAAGGUUUCUUUGAGCCAGACGGGAAUUGAUUUUAUACGUGUAAUGGCAUAAAGAAGCUUGACUGCAAGAGCUUGUCAAGCAAGGAUGAAAGUCGACCUUAGUUAUCCGAUGGUGCCGAGUGGUAAGACUGUCACUCAACGGAUAAAAGUUACUCUAUUAAUAACAGGCUGAUCUUCCCCAAGAGUUCACAUCGACGGGAAGGUUUGGCACCUCGAUGUCGGCUCGUCGCCACCUGGGGCUGUAGUAGGUUCUAAUGGUUGGGUUGUUUGCCCAUUAAAGCGGUACGUGAGCUGAGUUCAAAACGUUGUAAGACAGUUCAGUCCAUAUCUGGUAUAGGCGUUAGAGCAUUGAGAGGACAUUUCCCUAGCACGAGAGAAUCGGGAAGGACGCACCUCUGGUGUACCAGUUAUUGUGCCAUCGGUAAAUGCUGGGUAGUCAAGUGAGGAGCGGAUAACUGCUGAAAGCAUCCAAGUAGGAAAUCCACCACAGAAUGAUUGCUCUCUUAUUUUGUUUAUUGCUUACUUUACCUUAUUAACUUAAUUGAUAAUUUAAGCCCAAUAUAAAGUCGUAACGAGAAUAGUCAUUUUUAUUGGUAAUUAUAUAAUAGGUGUUAGGUGGAAGUGCAAAUUAAACCUUUUUAUGUUGUGAUGCAAAAAUCUUUGUACAU
rnacentral:rRNA from 1 species